rnacentral:rRNA from 1 species
UGGGUAACCUGCCUCAAAGAGGGGAAUAGCCUCCCGAAAGGGAGAUUAAUACCGCAUAAUAUGUUUAGGUCGCAUGACUUUAACAUCAAAGGUAUUUUUCUUUUAAGAAAUUCCACUUUGAGAUGGACCCGCGGCGCAUUAGCUAGUUGGUGAGGUAACGGCUCACCAAGGCAACGAUGCGUAGCCGACCUGAGGAGGGUGAUCGGCCACAUUGGAACUGAGACACGGUCCAGACUCCUAGGGAGG